rnacentral:rRNA from 1 species
AGAGUUUGAUCAUGGCUCAGGACGAACGCUGGCGGCGUGCUUAACACAUGCAAGUCGAGCGGAAAGGCCCUUCGGGGUACUCGAGCGGCGAACGGGUGAGUAACACGUGAGCAACCUGCCCCAGGCUUUGGGAUAACCCCGGGAAACCGGGGCUAAUACCGAAUAUGACCUCUGACCGCAUGGUUGGUGGUGGAAAGUUUUUCGGCUUGGGAUGGGCUCGCGGCCUAUCAGCUUGUUGGUGGGGUGAUGGCCUACCAAGGCGACGACGGGUAGCCGGCCUGAGAGGGCGACCGGCCACACUGGGACUGAGACACGGCCCAGGCUCCUACGGGAGGCAGCAGUGGGGAAUAUUGCACAAUGGGCGGAAGCCUGAUGCAGCGACGCCGCGUGAGGGAUGACGGCCUUCGGGUUGUAAACCUCUUUCAGCAGGGACGAAGCGUAAGUGACGGUACCUGCAGAAGAAGCGCCGGCCAACUACGUGCCAGCAGCCGCGGUAAGACGUAGGGCGCGAGCGUUGUCCGGAUUUAUUGGGCGUAAAGAGCUCGUAGGCGGCUUGUCGCGUCGACCGUGAAAACUUGGGGCUCAACCCCAAGCCUGCGGUCGAUACGGGCAGGCUAGAGUUCGGUAGGGGAGACUGGAAUUCCUGGUGUAGCGGUGAAAUGCGCAGAUAUCAGGAGGAACACCGGUGGCGAAGGCGGGUCUCUGGGCCGAUACUGACGCUGAGGAGCGAAAGCGUGGGGAGCGAACAGGAUUAGAUACCCUGGUAGUCCACGCUGUAAACGUUGGGCGCUAGGUGUGGGGGGCCUCUCCGGUUCCCUGUGCCGCAGCCAACGCAUUAAGCGCCCCGCCUGGGGAGUACGGCCGCAAGGCUAAAACUCAAAUGAAUUGACGG